GUGAAUCAUCGAAUUUUUGAACGCAAAUUGCGCCUUUUUCGGAUGGCAUGUCUGUUUGAGGGUACCAUUCAACAAAUAAUGCGCAUUUCGUGUGCACACGUUGAUGAGCUUUCCAAAAUUAUGUAUUAUUAUUUUUGGUGGCGCAUAAUAAACAGCGCGAUGCUUUUUUUCAGUUCGAGCGUAGUAAAAUUUUUUCUUGCUGGUGUUGUGAAAAGCGGGAUCGCGCAAAUGGGUUUGUCGAUUUUACUAACCCUGCCUCAU
rnacentral:misc_RNA from 1 species